rnacentral:rRNA from 1 species
GAUGAAUGCUGGCGGCGUGCCUAAUACAUGCAAGUCGAGCGGUAAGGCCCUUCGGGGUACACGAGCGGCGGACGGCUGAGUAACGCGUGGGAACGUGCCCCAAAGUGAGGAAUAACCUCGAGAAAUCGAGGCUAAUACCGCAUAUGGUCUUCGGAUUAAAGGAUUUAUCCGCUUUGGGAGCGGCCCGCGUACGAUUAGUUUGUUGGUGAGGUAAUGGCUCACCAAGACUACGAUCGUUAACUGGUCUGAGAGGAUGAUCAGUCACACUGGAACUGAGACACGGUCCAGACUCCUACGGGAGGCAGCAGUGGGGAAUAUUGGACAAUGGGCGAAAGCCUGAUCCAGCCAUGCCGCGUGUGUGAAGAAGGUCUUCGGAUUGUAAAGCACUUUAAGUUGGGAGGAAGGGCAGCAAGCUAAUACCUUGCUGUUUUGACGUUACCGACAGAAUAAGCACCGGCUAACUCUGUG